rnacentral:rRNA from 1 species
GACGAACGCUGGCGGCGUGCUUAACACAUGCAAGUCGAACGGUGAAGCGCCUUCCUUUUUGGUGGGUGUGGAUGAGUGGCGAACGGGUGAGUAACACGUGAGUAACCUGCCCCCUUCUUCUGGAUAACCGCAUGAAAGUGUGGCUAAUACGGGAUAUUCUGGGUCUGUCGCAUGAUGGGUCUGGGAAAGAUAUUGUUUCGGUGGGGGAUGGGCUCGCGGCCUAUCAGCUUGUUGGUGGGGUGAUGGCCUACCAAGGCGGUGACGGGUAGCCGGCCUGAGAGGGUGGACGGUCACACUGGGACUGAGCCACGGCCCAGACUCCUACGGGAGGCAGCAGUGGGGAAUAGUGCACAAUGGGCGCAAGCCUGAUGCAGCGACGCCGCGUGAGGGAUGGAGGCCUUCGGGUUGUGAACCUCUUUCGCCAGUGAAGCAGGCCUGCCUCGUUUGUGGGUGGGUUGACGGUAGCUGGAUAAGAAGCGCCGGCUAACUACGUG